rnacentral:rRNA from 1 species
UCCAGACUCCUACGGGAGGCAGCAGUGGGAGAUAUUGCACAAUGGGGGGAACCCUGAUGCAGCGACGCCGCGUGGGUGAAGGAGCGUUUCGGCGCGUAAAGCCCUAUCGGCAGGGAAGAAGGAGGACGGUACCUGACUAAGAAGCCCCGGCUAACUACGUGCCAGCAGCCGCGGUAAUACGUAGGGGACAAGCGUUAUCCGGAUUUACUGGGUGUAAAGGGGGCGCAGACGGCAGCGCAAGCCAGGAGUGAAAGCCCGGGGCCCAACCCCGGGACUGCUCUUGGAACUGCGCGGCUGGAGUGCAGGAGGGGCAGGCGGAAUUCCUGGUGUAGCGGUGAAAUGCGUAGAUAUCAGGAGGAACACCGGUGGCGAAGGCGGCCUGCUGGACUGCGACUGACGUUGAGGCCCGAAAGCGUGGGGAGCAAACAGGAUUAGAUACCCGUGUAGA